GGAUGCUGUCUGUGGUAACUCGAAGCUGCUGGUGUGACUAAGGAAACUAUCAAAUGGAUCCCAAGAAUGGGGUCAUUCUGACCCAGCUCAUUCAGAUAUACCUAUCUCAAGAUAAAAAGCAUAGCCAGAAUACACCAGCUGUACAGAAGAAGAUGAAUAGUUCAGAUGUCUAUUUGGAACCACUGUCUGACAGUUUUUCUUCAUCUGUGCCUGCACAAUCCUUGGAAGAGCCUCUUAUCAUGACAAAAUGAAACGAUUUUUGUGUCCAUUUCCCAGCGUGCAUUCAUGGGCACAUGAAGCAGGUCACCUUAGUGAAGCUGGAAUAAAAACUACUUCUGAAAGAGCAACAGCGAUAGUCAGCUCAGCAGCACGACUCCUGUGUACUCAACUGCUCUGGCUUCCCUCGAGCACAAGUGCCUGGCUCCACCUGACCCGUGGCCCCAAGCAACCCUGUAUUUGUAUUGGCUUAAAUUUGCUGAAAAUAGGUCACCCUAUCUAAGAAGGACCAUAAGAAAAGAAUCCUAAACAUUUUAAUUUGCAGGCAUUUCUGAACUGGCAAUACUCUUGGACAGUGCAUGGUAGAGCUUAUAAAUAGCACUUCGAGUGUCCGUGAUGUCACAAACCACAAGAUCAUCUGACUUGUGAUUUAUUACAUCAGAUCAUGGCUUGUAACCUGCAUCUUAUUUACAGUCACUACACCCACUAUUAUACCUGAGCCAUCCCAGUGUUGAGCAGAUACAAAAAUGCUGCCUGGAAUUGAAACAGUAAACAACCAAUUAAAAGUUUAACCUCUCCUUUUCCAAUCUCUUCCUAUAUUAUUAACUGAGGUUACUGUUGCUUAAAUUAAGGUUGUGUCAGAUAAUGACAAAUAGGUGUUCAUUCAUUUGCCCAUAUAUCACAUUUGCACAAACAAUACUCAUAGAAUUUGUCAGCAUUUGUUGUUCAAAAAUAGUUUCUCAUUGAAACUGCAUUUAUUUGAAGACAUGUUCUUUCAAGUGCAAGAUUGUUGUUUUACAAGAUUUCCUAGAAUAAAAUAGUGAAAGUCCAUUUCUAGCA
rnacentral:lncRNA from 14 species